AGCUACCCGACCCAACCCUUCACGACCCUGCCUCCCAAAUCCCAAUCCCAUCUCGACUCCAGCGCGCCGCCACCUCUUGCCCCGCCCCGCCCGGCCGGCGCUCCGCCUCCCAUCGCCGAGCGUCGUCGCCCCUCCUCGCCGCGCCGCCGGACCGCCUACCGUCGUCACGCACUGCCAUGGCCUACCUUGCCGCCCCGCCUACCCCUACCCCAAGUUCCCCCACACCCGCGCCCAUCACCGGCAUCCAUACGCGCGACCUGUUUCUCUGUUGCCGGGCGGCUGCAGGAGGUGGCCGGCAUCGCCCCGUCAUCAAAUCCCCUAGCCGCUUGAUCUCAUCCGCCGCAUGCUGGCUGCCCGUACAGGAUUGACGCGCCCUAUAUCCGGCGACCCGCGGCUACUCCUCCCAGCCCCGGAUCUGCUCUCCCGCCACCUGCGACCCACGGCUUCAAUGAUCCACGACCAACUCGGCUGCCCCCUUCCCCGUGCAGCUGCCUCUGAGGCUGCAGCAGCCUUCGCACGAGGCCACUACGGCGCCACCUAUGCUGUCCUGAAGUUCCGUCAGAUUCGUCAAUUUCAGUUUCAUCAGUUUUUGUCAGAUUAAGUUUCAUCAGAUUCAGAUAAUUCAGUUUCGUCAAAGUUUCAGUUGUAAGUUAAUUUCUCACGCACGUUGGCGCUCGGCGCUCGACGUCGUCCACUUCCUCACAUCACUCGAGCCCAAAUGCGUGCAGGUUACACCAGCCUUUGAUUUAUAUACCUACCGUACGUCCACUGAUCAGUAACAUGAAAAGGUUGGGCGCUCUGAGCUAGAACAUAAGCUGAUUGAUGAGAUGAGUUAAAAUGCUUCUGAUUGGUUAGACCCUCAAUAUUCCAAACUGAAGUCCAAGGAAGAAGGAUCAGGAAUAGCAGGUCGUUGCUGAUUUGUGUUCGAAGAGGUGCAGCAAAAAGUGAGAAGCAACUGAGGUAAUCGCCGAUUGAAAAAAAUACAUGAUGCACUGAUGGAUUAUCAUGUAUAUAAUGCCUGUUAUUGGAAAGACCGAUGUUUUGCUCUGAACUUGUUUGUGUAAAUUUUUGGCAUUUUCCAUUGCUCUUCAGUGCACUGAAGAAUAGUGAAAUCUUGGCAUCCGAUUCCUUUUGCAGGCUAUGCUUUUAACUCAACCAAAUCUGCAUUGUUAGUUGCUCUUAUAGUCUGUUUGUAGCUAAUUGGGGGACAAACAUGGGCAAUGACCAGCUUAUUUUGAUGACAGUGCAAUCAAGGACUCACAUGUUCACUGAUGAAUCUACCUCUAUUUGCAUGGUUAUUUUCCGAAUCAGCAACACUUUAUGAGGGUCUUCAUCGGCAAUGUACAUAGUGAUGCAUAACUGUUGGUUUGAAUUAUUUGGAUGCUUCAGUUGUCAGACAUGUAUGUGCAGAGAGUUGAGGCUUUGAAAUUAGAUAAUAUGUCUAAUGAAUAUGCAUGUUUAUUCA